UACGAAGGGGGCUAGCGUUGCUCGGAAUCACUGGGCGUAAAGGGUGCGUAGGCGGGUCUUUUAAGUCAGGGGUGAAAUCCUGGAGCUCAACUCCAGAACUGCCUUUGAUACUGAAGAUCUUGAGUUCGGGAGAGGGUGAGUGGAACUGCGAAGUGUAGAGGUGAAAUUCGUAGAUAUUCGCAAGAACACCCGUGGCGAAGGCGGCUCUCUGGGACGGUACUGGACGCUGAGA
rnacentral:rRNA from 1 species